GAAUACUGAGAGAUCUUGACAUGCUUCUCUGUGUGUCUGGAGGUUGGGACGUCGACGAUGUUAGAGAGUUUUUCGGAAUUGAGAAGAUCGUCUGGGUUUUGAGAUGACAAAGGCGGUGGUGGAGCCGAUUUCGAAAUCAAAAAGUGAAACAAAAAGAAACAGAGAAAAAAAAAAGAAAAUUAAUCCUCGAAAUGAAAUAAAA
rnacentral:lncRNA from 1 species